rnacentral:rRNA from 1 species
UCCUGGCUCAGGAUGAACGCUAGCGGCAGGCUUAAUACAUGCAAGUCGUGGGGCAGCAUGAGUAGCAAUACUUGAUGGCGACCGGCAAACGGGUGAGGAACACGUACACAACCUUCCUUCAAGCGGGGAAUAGCCCAGAGAAAUUUGGAUUAAUACCCCAUAAUAUAUUUGAUAAGGCAUCUUAUUAAUAUUAAAGCUUCGGCACUUGAUGAUGGGUGUGCGGCUGAUUAGAUAGUUGGCGGGGUAACGGCCCACCAAGUCUACGAUCAGUAGCUGAUGUGAGAGCAUGAUCAGCCACACGGGCACUGAGACACGGGCCCGACUCCUACGGGAGGCAGCAGUAAGGAAUAUUGGACAAUGGACGAAAGUCUGAUCCAGCCAUGCCGCGUGAAGGAUUAAGGUCCUCUGGAUUGUAAACUUCUUUUAUAUGGGACGAAAAAAGGGCAUUCUUGUUCACUUGACGGUACCAUAUGAAUAAGCACCGGCUAACUCCGUG